rnacentral:snRNA from 1 species
GGAUGUGAGGGCAAUCUGCCUGCGACAUUGAUCGCCAGGUUGAUUCAGUUGAUCUCCCCUUCCUCCCUCACUGCUCCAUGUACGUCCCUCCUGGUCUUCAGUCUAGGGGACACAAGUAGCUGAGCUCCCCUGAUAGAACCUCCAAACAAGCUCUCAAGAAAAAGGUACAGAGCAGUUUUAUCAAGAAACAAUUCCAAAGCCACCUCAAAAACAUUU